AAUUUCAUACAACUUGUUUAUGUUUCAAGUCCUUUUCAGUUUCCUCAUUUGAGCCAUAUCUUGUGAUUGUAUAUAUUGUUUGUUUGUCUUUGUUUUGUUGGUGGUCUUAGGACCUUAAAACAUCUAAUAACAACAAAAAACCCUAAAAAACAUUUGUUGGACUGUUGGGAUUUGAUAUGAACUUUUGGACUUAAAACUAGACAACAUUCCCUGUGCUAUAGGACUUGGCCAAUGCCAACAUCUGAGACUAAUCUAUCUUUGACCAUGCCUUCAUC
rnacentral:lncRNA from 1 species